UACAUAAGGAGCAAGCGUUACUCGGAAUUACUGGGCGUAAAGCGUGCGUAGGUGGUUGUUUAAGUCUGAUGUGAAAGCCCUGGGCUCAACCUGGGAAUGGCAUUGGAUACUGGAUAGCUAGAGUGCGGUAGAGGGUAGUGGAAUUCCCGGUGUAGCAGUGAAAUGCGUAGAGAUCGGGAGGAACAUCCGUGGCGAAGGCGACUACCUGGGCCAGCACUGACACUGAGGCACGAAAGCGUGGGGAGCAAACAGG
rnacentral:rRNA from 1 species